rnacentral:tRNA from 1 species
GCGAAAUAGCUCAAUUGAGAGAGCGUUAGACUAUAGCUCGAAAGGUCCCUGGUUCAAUUCCGGGAUUCGGCA